AUUGAACGCUGGCGGCAGGCCUAACACAUGCAAGUCGAGCGAGCGGCGGACGGUUGCGUAAUGUUUGGGGACUGCCCGUUAGCUGCGGAUAACUACUGGAAACGGUAGCUAAUCCCGCAUUCUAUCGGAUAACCCUUUGGGGAUUAGCUAGUCGGGGAGGUAAUGGCUCACCUAGGCGACGAUGCCUAGCUGGUCUGAGAGGAUGCUCAGCCACACUGGGACUGAGACACGGCCCAGACUCCUACGGAGGCAGCAGUGGGGAAUAUUUCGCAAUGGGCGAAAGCCUGAUGCAGCAAUGCCGCGUGUAUGAAGAAGGCCGUAGGGUUGUAAAGUACUUUCAGUAGGGAGGCGUUACCGACAGAAGAAGCACCGGCUAACUCCGUGCCAGCAGCCGCGGUAAUUC
rnacentral:rRNA from 1 species